rnacentral:lncRNA from 1 species
CUUGUAGGAACCAUCGAUAUGGCUGAGGUAGGAACCAUCGAUAUGGCUGAGGUAGGAACCAUCGAUAUGGCUGAGGUAGGAACCAUCGAUAUGGCUGAGGUAGGAACCAUCGAUAUGGCUGAGGUAGGAACACAACGAGACAAGACCCUGGCUGUAGGACCUUAUUUUUGAAGGUCUCAACACACAGAUGGCGUCCAUGUUGUUUCUGUACUGUGGUGCAUUUAUGAACAAAAUAACAGUU